CUUGAUGGACGCAAGUCUCUUUUCAGCUAUGUAACUAUGUAACUAGGAAAAAAUGUCUCUUCCACAAUCCUCUAGUCACUGAAAUAAUGAAUGUAAAUUGCUGAGAAUAUUAGUCCACCCUUUGCUUUCAAACAAUAAAGGAAGUUUCAAUGGGUCAUAUCAGUCCGUUUCGUGGAGGGGUGAAUGGACUUGCUAUUUUACUGUCAGCAUUACAUUAACAGUCG